rnacentral:rRNA from 1 species
GAUGAACGCUGGCGGCGUGCUUAAUACAUGCAAGUCGAACGGAGUGCUAGCAAUAGUACUUAGUGGCGAACGGGUGAGUAACGCGUUGGUGACCUGCCCCGAAGUGAGGGAUAACAGCUCGAAAGGGCUGCUAAUACCGCAUGAGAUCUGUUGGGUUAGAGGCUGGCAGAUGAAAGGAGAGAGCCGCUUUGGGAGGGGCCUGCGUCCCAUCAGCUAGUUGGUAAGGUAAAGGCUUACCAAGGCGAAGACGGGUAGGGGACCUGAGAGGGUGACCCCCCACACUGGCACUGAAACACGGGCCAGACACCUACGGGUGGCAGCAGUAGGGAAUAUUGCACAAUGGGCGAAAGCCUGAUGCAGCGACGCCGCGUGCGCGACGAAGGCCUUCGGGUCGUAAAGCGCUUUUCGGGGAGAUGAGGAAGGACAGUAUCCCCGGAAUAAGGCUCGGCUAACUACGUGCCAGCAGCCGCCGUAAAAC